AGUGAACGCUGGCGGUAGGCCUAACACAUGCAAGUCGAACGGCAGCACAGGAGAGCUUGCUCUCUGGGUGGCGAGUGGCGGACGGGUGAGGAAUACAUCGGAAUCUACUUUUUCGUGGGGGAUAACGUCGGGGAACUUACGCUAAUACCGCAUACGACCUACGGGUGAAAGCAGGGGACCUUCGGGCCUUGCGCGCUGGAAUGAGCCGAUGUCGGAUUAGCUAUGUGGCGGGGUAAAGGCCCAACAAGGCGACGAUCCGUGGCUGGUCUGAGAGGAGGAUCAGCGACACUGGAACUGAGACACGUUCCAGACUCCUACGGGAGGCAGCAGUAGGGAAUAUUGGACAAUGGGCGCAAGCCUGAUCCAGCCAUACCGCGUGGGGGAAGAAGGACUUCGGGUUGUAAAGCCCUUUUGUUGGGAAAGAAAUCCAGCCGGCUAAUACCUGGUUGGGAUGACGGUACCCAAAGAAUAAGCACCGGCUAACUUCGUGCCAGCCGCCGCGGUAA
rnacentral:rRNA from 1 species